rnacentral:rRNA from 1 species
UAGGGAAUCUUCCACAAUGGACGCAAGUCUGAUGGAGCAACGCCGCGUGAGUGAAGAAGGUCUUCGGAUCGUAAAGCUCUGUUGUUGGUGAAGAAGGAUAGAGGCAGUAACUGGUCUUUAUUUGACGGUAAUCAACCAGAAAGUCACGGCUAACUACGUGCCAGCAGCCGCGGUAAUACGUAGGUGGCAAGCGUUGUCCGGAUUUAUUGGGCGUAAAGCGAGCGCAGGCGGAAUGAUAAGUCUGAUGUGAAAGCCCACGGCUCAACCGUGGAACUGCAUCGGAAACUGUCAUUCUUGAGUGCAGAAGAGGAGAGUGGAACUCCAUGUGUAGCGGUGGAAUGCGUAGAUAUAUGGAAGAACACCAGUGGCGAAGGCGGCUCUCUGGUCUGCAACUGACGCUGAGGCCCGAAAGCAUGGGUAGCGAACAGGAUUAGAUACCCUGGUAGUCCAUGCCGUAAACGAUGAGCGCUAGGUGUUGGGGACUUUCCGGUCCUCAGUGCCGCAGCAAACGCAUUAAGCGCUCCGCCUGGGGAGUACGACCGCAAGGUUGAAACG